AUUGAACGCUGGCGGCAGGCUUAACACAUGCAAGUCGAACGAGUGGCGGACGGGUGAGUAAUGCUUGGGAAUCUAGCUUAUGGAGGGGGAUAACUACGGGAAACUGUAGCUAAUACCGCGUACCAUAGGAUGAGCCCAAGUGGGAUUAGGUAGUUGGUGGGGUAAAGGCUCACCAGGCCGACGAUCUCUAGCUGGUCUGAGAGGAUGACCGUCCACACGGGGACUGGGACACGGCCCGGACUCCUACGGGAGGAGGCAGUGGGGAAGAUUGCGCAAUGGGGGAAACCUGACGCAGCCAUGCCGCGUGAAUGAAGAAGGCCUUCGGGUUGUAAGGUUUUUUCGGUAGCGAGGCGUUAACUACAGAAGAAGCACCGGCUAACUCCGUGCCAGCAGCCGCGGUAAUUC
rnacentral:rRNA from 1 species